GAGAAGUAACCAAGUGGUUGAAGGUAUCGGACUUGAAAUCCGACAGGUCGCGCAAGCGGCGCGAGGGUUCGAAUCCCUCCUUCUCC
rnacentral:tRNA from 1 species